rnacentral:piRNA from 1 species
UCAUUGUCCAGGAAUCUGUCUCAGCC